CAUAAAGAAACCCAUCCCGCUUCCGCGCCCCAUUUCCACCUCUCCCGCGCGCGCGCCCUCUCCGCGCUGCGGAUGCACGCCAUGGCCGACGCCGGCGAACCCCCUCCCAGUUUGUGCCCCCUGUGCGGCCACCCCGCCACCACCCCCUCUUCCUCGGCCUCUUUGUCGCCGCCAGUGGCGGCCACGAGGCCGCCGAUGAAGAGGAAUUCGCCGCCUGAGGCGCCGGCCGCCGUGGUGCGGGUGGAGAUAGGGGACGAGGCGGUGGCGCUUCGCGAGGCGCUGGCGCGGCAGCAGGUGGCUCUGGGGGAACUGCAGGCCGAGCUGGACGCGGAGCGCGGCGCGGCGGCCGGCGCCGCCAGCGAGGCCAUGACCAUGAUCCUUCGCCUGCAGCGGGAGAAGGCCGAGGCCAUGAUGGAGGCGCGCCAGUUCCGGCGCUACGCAGAGGAGAAGAUGUCGCACGACGCCGCGGAGCUCGCCGCGCUCGAGGAGGCCAUGGCCAAGCGCGACGCCUCGAUCCCGAUGCGCGCCGUCCAGUCCCAGUCGCGCCUCGCCACGUCGUCGAUACCUUCCUCAUCACCGCGCGUCUCCUCCACGCCGCGCCACCCGUCCACGCCGUCGACGGUAACCGGCGCCGGCGGCUACUACCCGCCGCUGCGGUGCUUCAGCGACCGCUUCAACGAUCACCCGCCGACCGCGUCGGAGGCGGACGUGCUCGACGUGCAGACCCCGCGCGACCACCUCGCCCGCCUCUCCCACCGCGUCCAGAUGCUCGAGCGCCGCGCGCCGCCCACGGCCACCACCACGCCCAUCAUCCGCGUUGCGCCGGGCUCCGCGUUCCCCCGCAAUUCGCGCGUAUUCUCCGACACCGACAGCAUAGACUUCUGCGACGGCGAGUUUUUCCCGGACGACGACUGCGGCGCCAGCGACCGGGUGUACACCGUGGACGCUAUCCACGGCCGAGGCGUUCCCUUGGCCGUGCCCGAGGGCUCCUACUGCGGCGGCACGCCGGUCGGGAGCGACUGCUGCGGCGGCGGGUCGUGGGCGGAGGACGAGGAGAUGCGUCGGCUCACAGCGCGCCUCCAGGCGUUAGAAGCUGACCGGGAGACCAUGCGCCAGGCACUCAUUUCCAUGGGUGCCGAGAAGGCGCAGGUGGUGCUGCUCAAGGAGAUCGCGCAGCAGCUCUGCAAGGACGCCCCGCCACCUCUGCCGGCCGUCACCGUGGGGCAUCAUUACUACAAGGGGGCAGCGCCACCGCCCAUGACCGUCACCGUGCCACGGCCGCAGCGACCCAUGGUUAUGCACAGGAUGGUUGUCAAGAGCCAGCCGCUCACGAGGACCUCAUUCUUCGCCACAGUGGCCAAGUGGGUCGCAUCGAUCGUCUGGUGGCGAAGGAAAUCAUCUCGUAUCAAGUAUCCUAUUGGCCAGUGCGGUAACAAUGUCGGGCUGAUGCUGCUGCUUGACAAGUCCUCGAAGGCUCCAGGGCACGGGCAUCAGAGACCUCCCAAAAGGAUUUAGAUGUCAUCAGUCUUGAGCAUAUAUACGGCUGAUUUGUUUGUGAAAAACAAGGUGGCUUUCGCAUUGUUGUCUCUUCCAGCCCUUACUCUUGGCGCGCGCUCUCGCUCAUCAUGCAUGUCCGGGUACGAUAACCGGUGGAGCAGUGUACAUGCUCCUCAAGAAUGGAAGGUACCGCAAAAUCACCAGUUGGAAACAGCAAAACAGGGAUAGCUUCAAAUUUAGCAUGUGGUACGAUAAAUGCGACAAAUCAAGUUUAAAGCAUCACAUUGUUAAGGAAAUGGCAAGGUUUUGACUGUU